GACGAACGCUGGCGGCGUGCUUAACACAUGCAAGUCGAACGGAAAGGCCCUGCUUUUGUGGGGUGCUCGAGUGGCGAACGGGUGAGUAACACGUGAGUAACCUGCCCUUGACUUUGGGAUAACUUCAGGAAACUGGGGCUAAUACCGGAUAGGAGCUCCUGCUGCAUGGUGGGGGUUGGAAAGUUUCGGCGGUUGGGGAUGGACUCGCGGCUUAUCAGCUUGUUGGUGGGGUAGUGGCUUACCAAGGCUUUGACGGGUAGCCGGCCUGAGAGGGUGACCGGCCACAUUGGGACUGAGAUACGGCCCAGACUCCUACGGGAGGCAGCAGUGGGGAAUAUUGUACAAUGGGCGGAAGCCUGAUGCAGCAACGCCGCGUGCGGGAUGACGGCCUUCGGGUUGUAAACCGCUUUCGCCUGUGGCGAAGCGUGAGUGACGGUAAUGGGUAAAGAAGCACCGGCUAACUACGUG
rnacentral:rRNA from 1 species